rnacentral:sRNA from 1 species
GCGCCCGGCGGGUACUGCAGGCGAUGACCCAGGAUGCAGCCAGGGGGCACGACAUGCACGGAGGACCGCAUCCAGCAUGCCCUGGAACGCUGCCUGCACGGACUCAGCCUCAGCCGCCGCUCCACCUCCUGGUCAGCUGGGCUGUGUCUGAACUGCUGGAGCCUGCAGGAGCUGGUCAGCAGGGACCCGGGCCACUUCCUUAUCCUCCUUGAGCAGAUCCUGCAGAAGACCCGAGAGGUCCAGGAGAAGGGCACCUACGACCUGCUCACUCCGCUGGCCCUGCUCUUCUAUUCCACUGUUCUUUGUACACCACACUUCCCACCAGACUCGGAUCUCCUUCUGAAGGCAGCCAGCACCUACCACCGGUUCCUGACCUGGCCUGUUCCUUACUGCAGCAUCUGCCAGGAGCUGCUCACCUUCAUCGAUGCUGAACUCAAGGCCCCAGGGAUCUCCUACCAGAGGCUGGUGAGGGCUGAGCAGGGCCUGCCCAUCAGGAGUCAUCGCAGCUCCACCGUCACCGUGCUGCUGCUGAACCCAGUGGAAGUGCAGGCCGAGUUCCUCGCUGUAGCCAAUAAGCUGAGCACCCCCGGACACUCGCCUCACAGUGCCUACACCACCCUGCUCCUGCACGCCUUCCAGGCCACCUUUGGGGCCCACUGUGACGUCCCGGGCCUGCACUGUAGGCUACAGACACUGCAAAACCAGGGAAGCUCCAUACCAUCCCCAUCCCUGUCGCCCGGUGCUACACCUACAGCUGGAGCCAGGACAGCUUUGACAUCCUGAAGGAAAUCCUGCUCAAGGAACAGGAGCUGCUCCAGCCAGGGAUCCUGGGAGAUGAUGAAGAGGAGGAGGAGGAGGAGGAGGAGGAGGAGGAGGAGGAGGAGGAGGACUUGGAAACUGACGGGCACUGUGCCGAGAGAGAUUCCCUGCUCUCCAC